rnacentral:hammerhead_ribozyme from 1 species
AUCCAGCUGAUGAGUCCCAAAUAGGACGAAACGUGAAUCCUGGAU